AUGCUCAGUUUGUGUGUUCAGUUCGUCCUGUUGUGCGUGUUGUAUUUUGCGCCCGUGAAGGGUGUCUUUCAAUCAUUAGAUCCUUUGGAAGUAUUCCGUGAAUGUAAUUACACGACCCGGUGCGAAGGUCUCUUCGGUUUCAGCGAUUGCAAGAAUGGGAAGUGUGAGUGCAGAAAUGGUUUCUACUUCGCUAAUUUGGGAGGUUUCCCGUUUUGUCAAAUAUGUCCAAAUUUUGGGGAUAGGUGUGAUACAGCAAACUGUUGUCGGCAUUCGGACUCCGUCGCGUGCAUUGACGGAUUCUGUAGGUGCAAAGAUUCUUCCAUGGAUUCGUGUUUGCACUUUGAGCAAAGCACUGAGCUAAUGAUAGCUGCGAAAUUAGCUCUGUUUGGUGUUAUCUUAGUGUCUCUUGCAAUUUUGCUGAUGGUUUUACGGAGGUCUUGUGGCGGGGAGGAUUAUGACACUCCCGAUUCCGGGUAUCGUAGAGAUAGAAUCUAUGCUAGUCUCAAUUCCAUCCAAAGAUUUGUCCUAGCCAAAAUGCAAGACCGACCUCCUCCUUACGAUGAACUAGAACCUCCAAGCAAGCCUCCUCCUUACUCAGUUGCUCUAUCAACUCAGGAUUGCUACGGAUGCGAAGCCCCACCUCCUUACUCAUUCUCCAUGUUCGCGCAAUCGACCUCAGGAACAGGCGUCUCGAACCCCGGUUUCACCGACAUCCCAGGGACCCCAGACCUGAGCCCCUCAAUCCUCCCCAUCACCUUACCCUCAGCGGCGGGCCCCAGCGCCCCGCCCUACCCCGCGGCACCCGAAAGACAAGAACAAACAGUCUCCGAGCUACAACGGCCGGUCCUAGCCGACCCCACCGUCCGCCGGAUGUCCAACUACAGCACCUUCACUCAGCCGGAAACGAACGUCACUUCCGGUUUGAAUCUCGAGUUUCCGGUUCCUGAGAGCACGUCGCUGUCCAAUCAACCGAAAGAUCUGUUGAUCCGGAAGGUCAGCACGUCCGAGCGAACUCCGAGUAAAAGAUCUGGGAGCGUCUCCAACCCAAUUGCUGGUCCCUCGUUUAGAACGAAUUCUUGUUCGCCGGAAACGGUGGUGGACUGGCUGGGCAAAGAAAUCGAACCUGGUGGUUCCCCGGUGGACCACGCGGUCCAAACGACGGACCUGCCGUUCCAUGAGCCGAGCACACCGGACGACUGGUUGACGUCGACGCUGGGUCAGGUGGUGCAGACACCAGGUCCUUCAACUAGGUUAGACAGUUAAAUGGAGAUGCAGCUCGGAGCAAGGCAGGAGCGAAGAGUCGAAAAUUCUGCGUCAUCUCGGAUCCCUGGCCACUUUCUUCAUGUCAAGGAGACGCGGAUCGGACCAUUCGACUGUUUCGGACAGUUCGGAGCCGGGUUCCAUGGCGUUGGCGCACGAAUAUUAUUCCUACGAGAACGAAGAUGACGCCUCCUGUCUCGUUUCGCACAUUUACCCGUCCGGCCAGGUCUCAUCGCCGGAACUCCCGGCCGAGAGCCCCGUUGCCGUCACACCCUCUAAGUAGCAUUUUUCAACGGAAAAUCGCGAAAUUUUGAAAUUAAGUUGCGAUUCAUUUACGAUUUUUUGGCGAUAAAAUCGUUAGGGUCGUCGACAUCUGAGCGGAUUCGAAGAUAUUUCAAACUCCAGCGGGCUGAUUGUUGAAAUUGAUGGACAGAGCGAUAGACAAAAGAAGACAUAGGAACUACGGAGCGCCAAUUGGUCGACUUUGGUGGUUCCUAUAGACUACGAGUGCAAAUUAUGGACUCUAAUGAUAGGGUCUCUCGUGGGUUGCCGUUACUUAGUCUAUUAUCUACCUCCUCUGUCCAUAGCAACCACCCGCUUCUACCAGUAGAAUCCUUCAAUAUCCCUUUUGUCUUCUUUGACUAUAGCUUUGUCUAUAAAUUUCAGUAAUCAGCCCGCAGGGCUGUCUAAGGCGCCGCGCCGGAUGCGAGAAUGACCGGAACGCCUUCAAUUUUUCGGUUAUGCAACAAUGACAUCUAUUAGGCACGAAUAGUUGCAUACAGGCGUUUCCAUGAAAGACCAGGCCGUAUCUGAGUUACCUAUUGUAACUGCAGCUGACUUGUUUUAAAUUCUUUUAAUAUGAAAUGCAAUUAUCUGUAUGUUUUAAUCCUGGGUACAACGCUGUAUUACGCGGUACGACCCGCCAUGAAUGUAGGCUGUGCUAUUGAAAGAAAAAAAAAAAGAGUCCUAAUAUUCGUUUUCUCUUGAUAAAAGACAUUCAAGAAAAGCACAAUGAUAAUGUUAAUGCACUUACGUUGGCGUGCGCUUAAGGAACCACUAUUUCUGGCUCAUUUUAGAAACAACAUAUAUGCCAUUGAUUUCCCUAUGCAGAUACGUGGUUUUAUGGAAAAGCCAGAGCUAGUGGUCCCUUAUCGCAAAAUGUAAUCCAAUUAAAGUUUACUGUUGUUGAUGAUAGGACGUAUUUUUGCGAAAAAGGCCUGCUGUUGCAAACGAGAAUAGAGAGGUCGUAAUAACUACGAUUCUGUGACGUCACGCUAGUAGGUGAAACUCGACCGCGAUUAACUAUAAUCAUAAUUAACGGAGCUUUUAAAUUAAUUAAGCUUUAAUUAUGAGAAAAGUUUGAUGUACGAAAGGAAAAUCACUGCCUGAGCGGUUCAUGAUGAAGUCUCGUGUGGGGACGAGCACGCUUGAAAAACGUGAGAUUUGACAUGCGAGUCGAUUCGAUCGGUUUAAGGCAGCUUAUUAUGGAGAUUAAUUUCGAUCAACUGGUGUAUUACACGUAUGUGCCAAUUAAGUGCUGCUUCUGAUGUAUUGCUUGCGAAUAGUAAUAAGGUAAAAAUGUUUGUCUCUACUGGAAAAAUAAACCUAAAAUAAGGAGCUUGGAAGACAAGGCGCAUAAGUGCAGUUUUUGAAUAAAUUGAGAUAUUAAUGUUUUCAAGUAAAACUUAUCUUGAGGCAUUUUCUGUGAAAAAUUUGCUGCCAAAUUCCAAUUUUUAAGCGUCGAAAAGUCAGUUUGAACAUUCUUUCCGCCUGAAGGAUUCAUGUAAUUCCGAAACUUCAAACACGUAUUUCUCUAAAUAGCAAAAACUGUGCUGAUGCGCCUUGUCCUCCAAGCAUCUCAAAUAAGUUUGUAAAUGGACCGGGCAUUGUAACUAAUUAGCGAUGAUUUAUAUGGUUAAUUCAUGCUUUUCAACUCUUUUUUGGUGUAUUUCAAGUUAACAUCGAUCUAAGUAGGAUGUUAAAAAUUCGCAAAGACUGAAAAAAGGAAAAGAAAAAUUAAAUCUGUAUAUAAGUAUAUGCAAAAAAAUAAUAACAAAAUAAUGUACCUAAUUCUAGAGAAAGCAAAAUGCGUUUGAUCCAUGUCAUGCUCUGUGCUGCCUUGCACGGUCGGACAUUUUUUUUAAAAAAAAAAAAAUAUUCAGCAAAAAUAAAAUCGAAAACUGAAAGAUCAUUGUUUAUUCAUAACUGGAUCCGCAGUUAAUGUUGACGACAGAACUGUCUCGGGUCACUAAGCUUUAAUUUUAUUUUCCCCAAGUCGUACGCAAGUACCUACAUGAUUUGUUGAGAACCAUAAAUUACCUUUCGCAACGCAAGAAAUUUCAAUGUUACAAACUUCUAGUUUUUAAAAAUUCUGUGAUAAUGUACGUUGUACUAAAUUUAAGUUUUACCUAGUGUUAAGUGAUAAUUUUAAUAUUUUUUCUUCUUUUUUUACGCGUAAAGAGUCAAUUUCGUUCGAUUAAAAACACUAGAAUCGACAAGGUUUCUCUGUGCUCAUGAGUGAAAAUUAUUUUGAAGCACCUGUACCUCAAAAUAUAUUUUAUACAUUAAAAAUAUUUGUAUAAUAUUAUCAUGAAGAGCAGGAUCAAUUGGACGUAUUUCUAUCAAACGGAACUAUGUGCAUUAAGACGUGAGCCCUGUUAUGCACAUAAUUCUUAUGGGUCUCAGGGCUCAUGUCUUAAUGUACAUAGUUCCGUUUGAUAUAGAAAUACGUCCAAUUAAUGCAAUAAUUAAUUUUCUAAGUGCAAUAUGCGUGUCCACUCUACUGUUCAGGGAUAUAUAUAUACUUACAACACAGAGAUUUAUGAAGUACACAGUCUUUUUAGUCCUUUUUUCAAACUAUUUUAAGACGUUGAAAAAUAAAAAUGUAAUUACAUGUUAGUUUUGUUUCGUAACAUUCCUUCUUUUUUCAUUACGGGGUACGCUCUAGGACCGGGGGUAAUGAACUAAUUUUUUUUUUCGUUUAUAGUUAAAAUAUUCGUAAAAAAUCAAAUCAGAUGAUCUCGCCCAAUAUAUCACUCAGUUUAAUUUAGACGAAAAAGAAGUCAAAUUCCACUAUUUUAAAUCAUCCUUUUAAAUACUUUCUUGAAAAUUCUCAUAAUCUGAAUAAAUUCACGUGAGACGUGUAAAGAUACGGGGCCCAAAAUUCGCAUGUGUGCUUGCAGUUAAAAGACGGCAUUAAUCUAAAUCAUAUUUGAGCCCUCGGUUGUUAGUGGCUGAUAAGAUUACUUAUCUUAAGUGUGCAGGAUUGAGAAUCAAUAAGUAUGCAUCAACGGCACGAGAGCCUGGAAACAUUAAGUUCAUGUGAGUUUUACUUUCGGAUGUAAUUCCCUAUUUAUUCCUCAGACGGUCUCUGUCGGCGAAUUUGUGGUAGACUUUUGUUAGAAUAGCUUCAACCUAUGCUAAUUAUAUAAUGAUGACGUUUUGUUGUACGAAUGUUGAGUCUAUACUUGGGUUUAACACUAAAAAUAGCUUUUUACGAAACGGGAAAGGAGAAAAUUAGCGCCAUGUUAGUUCGCCUUCAAUUUUUAGUAUAGGCAACACGAGCUCACACGUGGUCGAAUAGUGAUAUCGUGAAAUGGCCCGCUCACUCGAGACUCACAUAAAGAAGAUCUUUUAUCGAACGGGUGGAUCGAGAUAGUACCAGAUCGACAAGAAUCGAUGGAGACAGACAUAUAGACGGUGAAAGUCGGCAAUCACAUAACUCGGUUUGCGACGUCGCAGACUUCCUGUCAUACUUUAUUUUUUAAACGGAAAACUACGCAACGGUAAUUCUUUAAAACUGCCGUGAUUUUUCUUCCAUGUGCGAGGAAAAUUCUGCAAAAACUUCAAGGAAUCAUGUCCAUUUGUUCUCCUUUAAAAAAAUAAUAUAGUUGCGGAGAUUUUCAGACACCGCAAACGAGUUAUGUGAUUGCCGACUUGCACCGUCGAUAUGUGAACCGAUCCACGUAUAUUCGGUCGAAAAAUAAUGGACAAAACACGCUCGUUUUUCUUUCACAGUCAAAUUUCGUCGCUCGGAACAAUCCCAUCAGUCUGUUGCCCCGGUAUGAUCCAACAUAUUACUCAAUAAUAAAUUGGAACAAGAAUUAAAAUUGUAAUAUGUGGCUAAGCUAUCUGGACCUAUGACGUUAUAGUCGCUGGUUUUUCUCGUAUUUUUUGCGCGCUGAAGAUUAUCAGCCAUGGAUGUAAGUAUCCUCUAUAGCAUGGUGUAACGAUUUCGUUACCGCGCAUUUUUGGUUUUUAGAAAUAGCAUCAUUUCUCUGCGAUAUGAAUUGCAUCACUGAGAACACGCACCACCAUUACGGCCCCUGCAAACCGUUUUUUGGUACAUUUUUGUCGCAUUUCUCUUUUGCUUCAAGAGUAUUGUGG
rnacentral:lncRNA from 1 species